AUUAAUACAGCCGGCAGGGUCGCCCCAGAACUGCAGGAUUACUACACAGCACGUACCCAUCUGUAACUAUACACGCGUCUACUAUGGGUGCCCGUCGUUUGGCUUUCAACGUCAUUUUUCCGAGAACGACAAAGCUCAGUCCUUCCCCCACGACCAAAGGGCCGAGGCCAACAAUGAGCUCCCUCCACACUCGACGCUGCCAUGCCGAACGGGCCUCCGGGGAAGCGCAGAGUCUUCCGAGGGCGCUCAGCCCCCCGCCCCGACCUCUGCCCGAGCCCCGAGUCCCGUUCGGGGAUCCCUGCUGCGAUCGCACCUCCUCCUCCAUCCUCCUUCAAGCAAGCGGCGCUGAUUGCGCAUCCCACUUCCGUCACGGACUUCCCUUAAAAACCACAUUAACGCGGCUUUUAUUAUUCUCAUUACUAUUACAGCCGUCAUCUUUCUUUUCACGCGCCGAGGUGGCGAUCCCCCCCAAUCUCUCGGCCGUUAUCUCUAGGAAACAUCAAAGUAUCUUCUAUCAUGGACGAGUCAAAUGAACACAAAGUAAGCAAACAGCCUGUGAUAGAAGGUGCGGUUGGGUGCCUGGUUAAAGCACGUCCUGGUACAGCAGUGGUUCUCAUGUGGCACUACCACAGUAGUUAUCUAAAGGAGAGGUUGGAGGAGGAGUGCUGAAGAAGGCUGUUGAGCACCUUCAGGAACUGAUAAAGCUGAAGAACACUUCUCAAAUGCUUGUAGUAAAUCAUAAGAAACGUUGCUACGUCCGGUUGAAAAUCACAUGGCUUCAAGAAUCAGAUUCCUGAGCCUUUGCUGAGUGUUAAAAGCAAAAGUGACUUCAAGAGAAAGUGGGGCUUUGUUAGUUUAUCGCAGACAGGUGAUGUGGAAGAUGUUUUUCCAAGGCAAUGGGCACAGGAAAGUGUUUCAAAUUAGCAUCCCGCUGGCAGAAGCGGUUGCAACGUGAAUUCCUUUCUAGCCGGCCUAGCAGCAGCCACCAAGCAGAAACCAACUGGAAUAAAUGCUUCUGCUCCUGAGCAAGCUGGAAGCAGACCUGGGAGCAGGAAUUAGAUGAUAUUCUACACCAGCACAGAAUAAACUGUGUGAGAAUGAGAGAAAAUGGGAUCGGUGAAUGAAAAGGGUUAAUAUAAUGAGUAAAGAAAAAAAAUGGAUAUCCUGGAAAUUCCAUAAUUCAAGCUCUUAGUUACUUCAGAGCAAGGUGGUACUCAGAAUUAUUUGUUUUCUGAAUUUAAAUUGACUUUUUAUGUGCAACAGUGGAAAUUAAUGGUUUCCGCUGUUGUUGUCGAUUGUCAUCUGAAGUCAGUUGUGCCAUUACUGGCUUUGCAAGACUGUUCUGUCCAUCAGCUAUUUGAAAAGGGGAUGCUGCCCUUUUUUCUUCUCCACCUUGUUGUUCAUCCAGCAAACUGCACAACUGAUUGCCAGUGGCUGCUGAAAAGCCAAGGUCUGUUUGAAAAAUUUUGAAGGUUGUGGGAGGACUGAAGUUUGUCCCUUCCACUAUCAUCUCUACCUGCUGAAAAGCAGAAGAUGCUUCUUUUGUUUACUACAUGGGUGCCCUGAGCCAUGCCUCCCUCUGGAAGAGCCUCUCAUCUAUACAAAACUGAGGGAAUCUGGAACAGUUCCCAGCUCCAAGGAUUUUGUUUUGUGCAUUGAUUGAUAUCAAGUGGUUGCAAUUUACAUUCUUUACCUGCACUAGAGGCCAUCCUCACAGAGAUGCCUUCAACAGCCAAAUGCAUUCAUAACCUUUGCAGUGUUCAAAAGGACUGUCGCAAUAGUUGUGUUCAUGCUUACAUUCAUGAUACAACAUUUACUGAAGAAUAAAUUAAAUUGAUAAAGAUAGGAAAAUGAUAUUCUGGUUGAGUUACUAAACACUUGUAAUUAAGUAUGGAUAUCAUGCACAAGGUAUUAAUAUUGUGACUUUAGGGAAUCAAGUUUCUUAGUCCAGUUUUUCUUGAUAAUCUUAGUCUUAAAACUUCCCAGGAAGGUGAGGGGAGAGUACAAAUUGUCUAUGUGGAGAACAAUGCAUAUGGAAAAGUUGUGUGAGUUUGCAUACAUUGGAAGCUUGGCAUUAGAGAAUAGCCUUGUUCUCCAUCCUCAGCUCCAGCUUUGCUUCUCUCAGUUUUUGUCAGUCUCCGAUUGCUUUUUGCACCAAUUACAGUGAUAAAGUCAGUAGAAGAAGAAUACUCUUAUUAAAUAAAAUAUUUUAAGGGUACUGUGACCUGCUAAACAUCAAUAUUGCUAAGACUGAGAGACUAUUUUUAAUAAAUUGCUUAACCAGGAUUUUUUAAAUCUAAAUAAAUUGAAAUACUCUUUAUUUUGUGAAUGUACACACAUAUAUAUAAAGGCAUUUGAUUUUAUGGAAGUAAAUUGUUCCAAAAGAUUUACACCUGAGAAAGAUAAAAGCUGUAAAAUGUGUACUGUUUCAUUUGUGUCCUUUGUUUUUCACGUGUGGUGCCUUGGGUUGAACAAUCAUUCUAAAACCAUUAUAUCAGUGCACAAAGAUCUUUAUUCUAGGCAAAGAUACCUCUUGUGAAGAAAGAAGUGUGCACAGUAUGCAGACUGAGAAGUACCACAUGUCACCUCAUGGUUCAUCUCUAAAGGAAUAUGCAAGCUGGAUAUUGCUCAAGUUCUUUUCCUUCACCAUUUGCUGUCCACUUAAUGAAGACAAAGAUUGCCUCGUUUUUGGAAGGCAAUAAAUAAAGAAGAGCAACAGCUGGAAUUUAAGUCACUGAUAUUUGCAAGGUUUCAGGAGAAGUAAACUAGGAACUCCUUCAUUUGGAUGAGCAUCAGACAGGAGAUAACACUGAUCUGUCUGCAUGGCCAGUCGGAGUUGUCUCAUUGCUCAGAAUCAAAAAAGCCUUCAAUUAUGGGAAGGAAAAAAGAGUCAACAGCCAAUUUUUUAGAAUAUAGUUCACUUGUCACAGUCAUUCACAAGUUUUACUACCCACUUUUAUUUGCAAACUAAAACGUAGGCUGUGACAGUGUGAGGAUGAGAGUUCCACAUGGGCAUUUUAAAGGAAAAUAUAUAUGAACUUCCCUUCAACUUAGCCAGCCUGUACGAACUGCUUCUUACUUAUAUUAUUUUUCUGUAGCAGGCUUUUGGCAGGUUCCAAACGAAUCUAUAACGCAGAAGUGCUUGUGAAAAGUUGUAGAGAAUGCCCUACCAGUUGCUACUGUGCUUUUGGGAUGACAAGGCUUCUUUCAAGUUUGUAGCAGUUAAGGAAAGCAACCGAAGUUAUUAAUGUGUAGCACCUCCAAGUUGCUAUCUGGAUUCUUAUCUACAUUGCGCUUGUGUUAUAGAAACAUUUGUCAACUUCAAAUUUUUCUCCAAGCACAAGAUGCAUCUCUGUUAUCUGCAGAGUUGCACUGAGCCAUUUUCUAAGAGUUAUGAUUAUUAUCUCCACAUUCUCUGCAGUAGCUUCUAUCUCUUUUUGAAAGUGCACUGCAGUUGUCUUGAGCGCUGUUAAGUCUGUGUGGUCCCCUUAUGGUAUGUUUGCAAGGGUGGAUAGUGAUAGGACAAGGGGGAAUGGUUUUAAACUGAGACAGGGGAGGUUUAGCUUAGACAUUAGGAGGAAGUUUUUCACACAGAGGGUGGUGACGCACUGAAACAGGUUGCCCAAGGAGGUUGUGGGUGCCCCAUCCCUGGAGGCAUUCAAGGCCAGGCUGGAUGUGGCUCUGGGCAGCCUGGUCUGGUGGUUGGUGACCCUGCACAAAGCAGGGGGGUUGAAACUGGAUGAUCAUUGUGGUCC
rnacentral:lncRNA from 1 species